UUCAAGCAUGCAUGUCUUGUGGGAGACUGGACUGCUCUAGGGUUCCCAGUUAAUCCAGCAGGAUCUCUGCUCCCAUUCCAAGCCCUGAAAUGUCCAUUUCGAGUCUUAACGGGAAGGCUGAGAGGUGAGGCAGACUUCAUCCCGAGGGAAGAAGGACCCAAGACAGUGCCUUACCCCAAGCUGCAUCUCACCCAACCCCAGGAUGCGUGCCCUCACCCAAGCUGCUUCCAUUCUUCCCAGAAGAGGUGGUGCCUGCGCUGCCAGUCUCUAACGCUAAGUUUGGAGCGCUUGUCACCUGCCCAGUGUCGCACAGCCAGAACCCAAGAGAAGCUCUGAUUGGCCCCCCACUCCGAGCUUUCUGUGCCGUGGCACAGGGGACGCAAGCACAUCCACCCUCCCAUGUACUUCCCAGCUCAUUUCUUCCCAGGUGAUGAGUGCUGGAGUGGAAGGAUCCCUAGAUGUCGUGGAAGAAACCUGGACACAGAUCCCAGCUCUGCUGCCUGUCAGCAAGAAACGUGGGCCACACCGGUUUACCAACUCAGCCUCCCCUUCCACCGCUGAAGACUGUGAGAGGUUACCACUGUCACCAGGGUGAUGACAUCUUCUAAACAGACGAUGUGUGUGAAAGCUGCUGGUAAAGAAUGAGAAGAGUGAGGCAUUGACAGUGUUCCCCAUGGUCCCUUUACCCCUCUAAUGAUAUCUUCUCUCCUUUGGAUUGAAAAUUUGCAGAGUCUGAAAGACAGGAUGUUAUGAAACUGCAGUAAGUGCUUUAGAGACGGGAAUCAUUUUGAUACGCCGCCAUCUCCUGGGACCUAGACUGAUGCCUUGCACAUAACAGGUGCUUGGAAAGGUUUGCUUGAAUGAAGAAUGAAUGAAGGAAUUCAACUUAUCUGUUCAAGCAGUGGCCAUUUGCAGUUAUUGCUACCAUGCCCUCAAGCCCUAUAGCCUAUCCAGCAGCAGAGCCCUGGAGGUAACCUCAUAGGCGAGGGCAGCUAGUAGAAACUGGGCAAACAUGGCAAGGAGAGUCCAGCUUAUAGGUAAGAGGAGGCCCCUGAAUGAUCUCUUUGGGGACCAUCAGAGGCCUGAGGUUGGUGCAGGAAGAGUCAAAGGCAAGAACUAGGGAAGGAUGCAGGGACUUGUUGAUAAAUGGAGAGGAGUCUUCAGAUUGUUAGAGGAAAGCAAAAGCAACAAACCAAAAUAAUAACGGAUCCUGAUCAGAUGACUUUUUAAAACACCUAAUACACACGCGCACACACACAUACACAUUGUGUGUUUAUAGUCACUCUAAGUGAUGAUAUAUCUAAGGGGAAUAAGGUUGUAUUUGGUAUUGGGGGAUUAAAUGUUUCGUGUGUGUGUGUGUGUAUUUUCUCUAGAUCCCAGUAAACAUUGUCAUGGCUUUCCCUCCAUAUGUGAUAACACACAUACUGUUCAUUUCCAGCUGCAAUUCUUGAUUGGUUUUGGUACCAAAAGCACUGCUCGGGGUUGAGAUGAGAGAAUGAUUUAGUAUUAGCAAAACGUGGAUUCUUUUUUUUUCUUUAUCAUAUUCUUUUCCAUUAUGGUUUA